UGAAUCCUGUAGUGAGAGACAAAGAAAAGGAGGCACCUAAUCAACUACUCCAUAACCUAGUUUUCUUACAAUGCCACAAUGACAUUCAUUACAAAACACAAAAGUUUAUCAAAAUUAUGUAUGUUCACAAUUGACCUCGACUGGUUUAAAAUGUGAUAAUUCUACAUACGGAGUAUGAUUUUUUUUCAUAAGUAUUUUUUCUCCACAAGAACCCCAAGAUAGGAGUACAUAAUGUUUCCAUCCUUGGUGUUUCCAAACUUCCUGUCCAGUAACAAAACGUUUUUCACACACAAUCCCGCAUAGUUCAAGUUGGUUUAAACAACAGAAUUACCUUGUCUCCAAGAAUUGUUGAUUAAGAAGUAUAAACACAUAAAA